CCAGAGUCUCGUUAGUUCAUCAGACGGCUGUGUCUCAGUCUGAGGCCGUGGACGAGAAAUGUCCUGAAACUCUGCAUCACUAACUGUCGUCUGGAGAUCUGAAGAGAACAGAUGCUGCUCAGCUGCAUUAUGGGAAAUAUUUCUUCAUCUCAGUUCUUAAAUUGAUGGAUUUUGAUGAGAACAAUCAGACACAGUCAGAGGACGGGCGUUUACGAGUGUGUGUGACUUGGUGAAGAUCCAGAGGAUUUCCAUGUGGUUUCAUCAGGAGACUUGGUGAAGGGGUCAAAGUCCACAGUGAGACACGAGGGAUUAAAGCAGCUGGACGACGUGUUGGAAACAAAUGAAAACAACAACUAAGACGCAGGAAACACGACGGUGACGUGGACCAACAGCUGACGUCGUGCUGAACACACACAUUCACACAUGGUUUCAUCCCUGUGGCGUUCCCUGAAACACGGCGCUGCCUGGCCUGUGUUUUAUCUCGUGUUAGAUGAUCCGUGCAGAGCGCUGCGGCACAAAGGACGAGAAGCUGCCGCCGCCGCCGCCGCUGCUAUAACCGGCCGGGUGUCGGAUUACAGCUGCUGCUUCACCAACCCUGAAACUGAAGAUGGAAGACAGAGCCGCACCGAAAAUCCAAGUGGAAAGUUUAAUGUGCACUUGAACCUUUGAGAGCGCUCUUAGCCCCUGUCCUCCAUCUGCUGCC